GAUGAACGCUAGCUACAGGCUUAACACAUGCAAGUCGAGGGGAAACGACAUCGAAAGCUUGCUUUUGAUGGGCGUCGACCGGCGCACGGGUGAGUAACGCGUAUCCAACCUGCCCAUCACUUGGGAAUAACCUUGCGAAAGUAAGACUAAUACCCAAUGAUAUCCCACGAAGGCAUCGGAAUGGGAUUAAAGAUUUAUCGGUGAUGGAUGGGGAUGCGUCUGAUUAGCUUGUUGGCGGGGUAACGGCCCACCAAGGCAACGAUCAGUAGGGGUUCUGAGAGGAAGGUCCCCCACAUUGGAACUGAGACACGGUCCAAACUCCUACGGGAGGCAGCAGUGAGGAAUAUUGGUCAAUGGGCGAGAGCCUGAACCAGCCAAGUAGCGUGCAGGAAGACGGCCCUAUAGGUUGUAAACUGCUUUUAUAAGGGAAUAAAGUGGGUCACGUGUGACUUUUUGCAUGUACCUUAUGAAUAAGGACCGGCUAAUUCCGUG
rnacentral:rRNA from 1 species